AAAUUUCUAUAUAUAUAAUGUCGGGUUGGUUUGGUUUCGGUUUGACUUUCUUUAGUUAAAACCAAACCAAACCAAUUAUGGUCGGAUUUUUUUUCCAACACCAAACCAAGUCAAACCAAACCAUAGUCGGGUUCUUUUUCUCGGUUUGACUCGGAUUAUCGGGUUGAUGCGAAUUGUCGGUUUUCUUUGUACACCCCUAGUUAUAAGCCUUGCCUCGUUGACUUCUUCUCUUGUAUCAUCA
rnacentral:lncRNA from 1 species